UGCUUCUCAGCUUAGUGUUCAAUGAGCACUUGCACAGUUAUUAACUGAGACUGAGACCUGCCUGUACAGCAGUGUUGUGGGACAUCUGACUGUAAUCGUGCUCGAGGAUAUGAGCAACGUUCAAUCAUAUAAUAAUAAAGUCUGUCGUUGCAGUCUAAAUGAUUAGUCCAUUCAGUUAUUUGUUCGGUGAAUAAUGUUCGCUUCGCAAUUAGACGAUGAAUCAAAGUAAAAUCAAUAUGUUCACAGUAAAUGUGAUUUGUAUUCUAGUGUCUUGUGUAUUGGCUGCGUUCGACGUUUUGCAGAUACCGGAUAAUCCUGUGUAUUAUAAUGAUUAUAGUCUACAAUGUCAUACACCUGUGAAGUGUGCCAGUGACCGAAGAUGUCCAGAAGUCUUCGAUUGGAAAGACUUGGAGCGCUGGGCUCAGAAGGAAGCGCAUGCUCAAUUUGAUCUUUUAUCGAGUUUUGUGAAUAACUCAAGCUACAUGAUUGGCGAGAACGAAUUCGAUUUCAACAUGUUUUUUACUAGAGAAUUAACGAGUGAACAGGAAUUUGGUGUGAAGAAUACGAUGACAAUAGAUAUUCUACUAGAAUAUUUGGCUAGCACUUAUGGAAAAUGUACCGUAAGAAAUCUGCUGGAAGGUCGGUGUUCAAAAGUUAGUCAGUCUUUGUCUUUGGACGAGUGUCAGCGUACGUCACUAUAUCUAUGUGAUCCAACCUAUCCAUAUCGCUCUUACGAUGGAAGCUGCAACAACUUGAAACAUGCAUCAUGGGGUCAGGCUGGCAAUCCUUUUAAGAUCGAAUUUGCAACAUGCUACGAUGACUUUGUUUCGAAGCGACGUUUGAGCUCGACGGGACGUGAUCUACCAAACAAUAGAGCGGUCAUAAGCGACAUGCAACGCGUGUUCAAUUAUUUUGCCCCUGAUUCGGGAAAUUUGUUCAGUUUGUUUGGUUUGCUGUUCUGUGAAACUAUCAACACUGACAUGAUCGGGCGAGCGAUGAAACGUGUUCGAAAUGCUACGACUGGCUUCCGUGGAUGUCGUGCAGAUGGUAGCGGUGUAUCCAACUGUAGGACUCCUUUAACCUGCCCGAUGAGCGUGCCAUCAGAUGAUCCAAACUAUGGUCCACUGAAUGUUGAAUGUUUAAAUUUUAGUCCCAUCGAAAAUGCCAAUGAUCAUUGCAGCUUUAGAUAUCCGCUCAAGAGGAAUACCGGAAGCAGUUACAUUGAUCUAUCAUCAGUAUAUAAAGAUGGCAAUUACAACAGUGAAGGAAAAAUUAUCUCAUCAUUUUGCCAUGCUUCUUCAACAUUUGAUAUCAAUAAAGUGCUCUCAAUACAGUUCUUGGCUGUGACAGGAUUAUUCACACAGCUUCAUAACUAUUGUGUUGAUAGAGUCAAACUCUGUGGCAAUCUUCAAAAGCAAGAAGAUACUAUUGAAAAAUGUCGAUCGUUAGCUAUCGGUGUGUAUCAACGUAUCAUUUACGAGGAAGUUCUGCCAGUUAUUCUUGGAAAUUUCUAUGAUGAAUGCAAUUUUGAUUGCGAAUACGAUGAAAAUCUCGAAUCUACUGUAUCUUCGUCAUUUGUCGGCGGUCCAGGACGCUUCCCCCAUAUUUGGGUACCGGAAAAUGUUACAAUAAUACAAGAUAAAGAACGCAUGCAGAAACCAUUCUUUGAAUUUUUUCUCAAUUACGACUCAUAUGACUGCUCUGGUGUAUUGAAAGGAAUGCUUGAAGAUCCUAUUCAUACCGGAACUCUUUCGGAUUCGCUAAUCAACACCUUCUUUUCGAAAGACGGAAAACUGGGUCAUUGUUUGCUGUGCCUCGAUUUAGAAAGAGGGCGAGAUUCUGGAUUGUGUCCUUUGAUUUUGUACAAACAUUACUUCGAUAAGAUUUCCGGUCGCCCAACAAAAUGCUACAAUUCGUUUGAUGACUUGGCAGAUAUUUUCGAUGAAAAGUGUUAUGUUUCAGGUGAUAGAGGUUUUCAAGAAGCACUAUGAAAGCCCAUUUGAUAUCGACGUGCUUUUUCUGUUAUUCGAAAAGGACCAAGAAGACCCAACGAUCUUACUGCCACAAACAGUAGCAACGGCAACGUGUUUGCAGUUUAAGCUAUUGAAAUGCAGUGAUCGUUUCUUCUACAGCUGGAAUGAAUUCUUAACUCCGGCUUUGAAAGAACUAAUCAACUCGAUUGAUAUGUCAACGCUUUUGGCAAUGUUUGGUGGAAUGGAAGAGGUUCCUGUUGACCCUUGGCAUUUUCAAUCUGAUAAGGUGUCAGCACAAAUGCUAAGAGAUAAGAAUAAUCAAAAGAUCGAUCUUUUCUGUAGCCUCUAAGUAGAGUUUUGGAGAAAUACGCUCAUUAAAAUUAAAAACAAUGCAAUCUAAAACAAAUUUCAAAGAUUAUUGUAAAUAAGACAAAAUAAUCGUUUCGAGUAAUCCUA